UACGGAGGGUGCAAACGUUGCUCGGAAUCAUUGGGCGUAAAGCGCACGUAGGCGGACCGCUAAGUCGGAUGUGAAAGCCCUCGGCUUAACCGAGGAAGUGCAUUCGAAACUGGCAGUCUUGAGUAUGGAAGAGGGUCGCGGAAUUCCCGGUGUAGAGGUGAAAUUCGUAGAUAUCGGUAGGAACACCAGUGGCGAAGGCGCUGUCCUGGACGAAGAUUGACGCUGAGGUGCGAAAGCGUGGGGAGCAAACAGG
rnacentral:rRNA from 1 species